rnacentral:rRNA from 1 species
GAAAACUCCGGUGGUAAAAGAUGGGCAUGCGUUGUAUUAGCUAGUUGGUGAGGUAACGGCUCACCAAGGCGACGAUACAUAGGGGGACUGAGAGGUUAACCCCCCACAUUGGUACUGAGACACGGACCAAACCCCUACGGGAGGCAGCAGUGAGGAAUAUUGGUCAAUGGACGCAAGUCUGAACCAGCCAUGCCGCGUGCAGGAAGACGGCUCUAUGAGUUGUAAACUGCUUUUGUACGAGGGUAAAUGCAGGUACGUGUAUCUGUUUGAAAGUAUCGUACGAAUAAGGAUCGGCUAACUCCGUGCCAGCAGCCGCGGUAAUACGGAGGAUCCAAGCGUUAUCCGGAUUUAUUGGGUUUAAAGGGUGCGUAGGCGGUUUUAUAAGUUAGAGGUGAAAUCUCGGGGCUCAACUCCGAAAUUGCCUCUAAUACUGUAGGACUAGAGAGUAGUUGCGGUAGGCGGAAUGUAUGGUGUAGCGGUGAAAUGCUUAGAGAUCAUACAGAACACCGAUUGCGAAGGCAGCUUACCAAACUAUAUCUGACGUUGAGGCACGAAAGCGUGGGGAGCAAACAGGAUUAGAUACCCUGGUAGUCCACGCAGUAAACGAUGAUAACUCGUUGUCGGCGAUACACAGUCG